UACAGAGGGUGCGAGCGUUGUCCGGAAUCACUGGGCGUAAAGGGCGCGUAGGUGGCGGGCCAAGUCCAUGGUGAAAGCUCGAUGCUCAACAUCGAGUCGGCCACGGAUACUGGUUCGCUGGAGCACUGUAGAGGCAGAUGGAAUUCCGGGUGUAGCGGUGGAAUGCGUAGAGAUCGGGAGGAAGGCCGGUGGCGAAGGCGGCGCUCUGGAACGUACCUGACGCUGAGACACGAAAGCGUGGGGAGCAAACAGG
rnacentral:rRNA from 1 species